AUUGAACGCUGGCGGCAUGCUUUACACAUGCAAGUCGAACGGCAGCGCGGGCUUCGGCCUGGCGGCGAGUGGCGAACGGGUGAGUAAUGCAUCGGAACGUGCCCAGUAGUGGGGGAUAGCCCGACGAAAGCCGGAUUAAUACCGCAUACGACCUGAGGGUGAAAGCGGGGGACCGAAAGGCCUCGCGCUAUUGGAGCGGCCGAUGUCGGAUUAGCUAGUUGGUGGGGUAAAGGCUUACCAAGGCGACGAUCCGUAGCUGGUCUGAGAGGACGACCAGCCACACUGGGACUGAGACACGGCCCAGACUCCUACGGGAGGCAGCAGUGGGGAAUUUUGGACAAUGGGGGCAACCCUGAUCCAGCCAUGCCGCGUGCGAGAAGAAGGCCUUCGGGUUGUAAACCGCUUUUGUUCGGGAAGAAAUCCUCUGGGCUAAUACCCCGGGGGGAUGACGGUACCGGAAGAAUAAGCACCGGCUAACUACGUG
rnacentral:rRNA from 1 species